AUGGACCACAAGAGGGAGCAUUUUGUUCAGUUUAUUGGCAAAGACUAUUUUUCCCUAUGUGAAGCAGAGAGGAAAAACCCAGUUUCUGGAUCGGGAGUGUCGGCCACAGAACAUCUGCUGCAUUUCCUCCCAAGAAUGAAUUACACCACGAGUGGAUCCUCCAGUGAUACUAUAGCUGGAAUCAGCUGAGGGAGAUAGCACUAAAAGCCGUGCAACUUUCCACAGAGGAGAGAGAACGGAAGACAUCUCACUUCAUCAGCCAAAAAUCACUGCUUAUUAACUAACCUGAAGUGAAUUAGAACAACUGAUUUACUCAGAAUUUGACCGUCAUAGCAAGGGAAGAGUUUUUUUGCAAUAAAAAAAAUUCAGUCUUUUCUAAAAUGGUGCUU
rnacentral:lncRNA from 1 species